CAUGUAGGAAAUUAAAAGUUGAACAAACUUCUUUUUUUUAACUUCUUCACCAAAAAAGAAUCCUAAUCCAACAUCGAGGUCGCAAACUAUUUUAUCUAUAUGAACUAUCCAAAAUUAUUACGCUGUUACCCCUAGAGUAUUUUUUUCAUUUAAUCGUUAAAAACGGAACUAAUUUAAACUUUAAAAAAAGAUAUUUAUUCUUUUUCCAUCACCCCAAUUAAAUUUUUUAAUAAUUAAAAUAUAUUAUUUAAAAAAUUAAAAAUUCAUAGGGUCUUCUUGUCCCUAAUUUUAAUUUUUGCUUUCGCACUAAAAAAUUAAAUUCAAUUAUUUAAUAAAAGAAAGUCUUUAAUUGUUAAAUCAUUCUCUUAGCACUCAUUUAAAAUCUUAUUUCAAUACCUUCGUAUAGUCAAAAUACCACAGCAAUUUAAAAAUUCAUUGAGCAGAUUAUACAUUUUAUUAUUUUCAAAAUGAAAUGUUUUUGU
rnacentral:rRNA from 1 species